ensembl:miRNA Mir652 microRNA 652
ACGAACGACUAUGCACUGCACAACCCUAGGAGAGGGUGCCAUUCACAUAGACUAUAGUUGAAUGGCGCCACUAGGGUUGUGCAGUGCACAGCCUACCC